AAAAAACGCCCGGGUGGCGCUGAGAAGCAUCGGGAAAAAAAGCUGAAGUGUCUGGAGGUGGAGGCUGCUAAAUGUGGCAAACUGACGGACCUGUUUGGUGCCGGGUUCACCAGCCCAGCAGCAGCAGGUGCGCCGGGAGACGAGCGAGGAGGACUCGACAAUGAUGAGCGAGUGGAGGCAGACAUGGUUGACCACUUGACAUGUGAGAGCCUGAGGAGUUGUUCCCCCUCUGUCCAUGUUCGAGGACUUGCUCUCUGUCUGCCUCCACUCUCUGCCUUCACUGUACCAAAGUUUGUCUGUUGAGUCUCCUCUAGUCUGAUGGCGACAUAAUUCUGAAGACCCAAGCCUCCCCUGUGUUUACGGAUGACGAUGUCACCUUGUGUUAUCAGCAUCAGAGCGGCAAACACAAACAAACCAGCUUCUUUAAAAACGGAGCAUUGAUUGACUCUAACAGUUCGUCCGGUUCAGACCGAGUCAUAAAGAUGACUCUUAAGAAUGUGACACGGGAAGAUGAAGGCUUCUACAGGUGUGCGUCAGACAGCUGCAGAGUCCAGAGAGCUGGUUAUCAGUGAGACCAGACAGAGGUCAGCUGAACAUCAUCACUCUGCUGUGUGUUCUAUAGAAGUGGAUCAGUGUCACAUAUCAACUGUUGUUUCUUUUAGGAAACUUCACAUCAGAGGAGACUCCAGCCUCCACUGGUUCCUGGAAAUGGAUCAUUGCUUCAUGUGGGGUUCUACUUCUGAUCGUCAUUCCUUUGACUGUUUGGCUCGUUUGUCACUACAGGUACCAGAAGUUCUGCACUUGGAGCUGCUGGCCUGUUUCCAAACAGGAAGUUCCAGCAGGGGUGCUUCCUGCCACCAAGUUGGAUGUGACGGAGGUGCAGUGGGACCUGUCGUGGAUGGAGAUGUCCAACCUGUUGGAAAAGGAUUCUUAUUGUGGCACUUAAAGGGAAACACUCUUCUGAAGCCCAGAGACUUAACUAUUGGGUCAAACCUAUGAGAAAGCUCAGUCAGUGCUGCAAUUUGUAGUAUUUGAUGGUCACAUGUCAAAAUAGUGCUACCUGAUAUAUUUUUGAAUUGAAUUAAAUGAGAUGUUUAGGAUUUAUAAGGAUGACUACAUUUGCUGAUGGUGCAGAUUUGAUAGCUUCCAAUACAAAUGUUAUUGUUUCAGUUGUCACAUUUGUCAAUGUCAAUACUCUUGCACAUUUAAACGUCUCUCC